ensembl:processed_transcript Gm12992 predicted gene 12992
CUUCAUCUAGAACCAGCCGGUUCUUUCCUGUAGCCACUGUCCUCUUCGGGGCAACUCCAUCUCUUAGAGUCCCUGCAGUCUGCCCGCCGCCUGUCCCUGCCAACUGGUCUGCAAACGUCACAGAGCACCGUCCCAAUGUGCAUCUGCCCCUUGCUGAAAACCCUCUAUGGCUCCCUGGUGCUGUCCGAAUGGUUUCAGAACCGGUGUGGUUUGAGCAUGCUCCAGACCUUCUCACCUGGCCCGUGUGGCUGAAGCUGCCUAGUCAUUCCUUUCCUGCCAAGAGAUGCUGGAGGGCCGAAGAUGAAUCAAGUCAGUGAAAGUUCCACGGUCAAGGUGGAUGACUUGGUUAAGAGACAUGGCAUGCACCCGAGGAAGCGAGCUGGGGUCGGGGCCGUUCUCCGAGGCUGCAAAGCCCAGUGUUGAUGUGGAAUUUACAACGUUGCAAUAGCCUGCACUGGUAACUGUGAGAGCCCACAGAAGGAAAAAACAAACCUCGAGGCAGUCUCAGGUACCCCAGGCUGACACCAAGCUUGCUGUGUAACUGGGGAUGGGCUAGGAAUCUGACCUCCUGUUUCCUCCUCCCAGGACUGGGACUACAGGGUAAAGUGAGGAGUCCUCCAGGAUUGAUGGAAUAUCACAUGUUUGAUACCGUGGGGUGGAUGCCUUACCUUCUCAGAAUGCUGCACUGACGAACCCAGAUAAAGGGAAGGUGAGUUCAAGAGUCUGGGAGGUUUUUUAGUUUGGCUGCCUGGACUGUCAUGGGAUUCCAUGGUCCAAUCUGACCCAAUUCACCUACUUCUCUCCAAGAGCUCAGAAUGGCCAUCCAAAUCUCCCACUGCCGUAUCUCGCUGGUCUUUUAUACCUCUCCUGACCACACUCCAUAACAUUUCUUAUGUUUUGGACAGUGUUUCUCUGUGUAGCCCUGGUUGUCUUGAGACUCACUCUAUAGCUCAGACUGGCCACCGAAUGCUGGGAUUAAAGGUGUGUGCCACCACCGCCUGGCCUGACAUCUAUCUUGUGCUGCCCAGACAGACCCAGCCCCUGCAGUCAAGCUCCUUCCCUUACCUCCUCUGGGCACCAUCACUGCUGGGCUUAACUACCACUUAGUCAAACCCACAUGGCCUGUGCUUUUUACCAUGGAGGGAGGCUGCCUUCCCAGAAGGCACACUUGCCCUUAGUGUUGACCAUUUACAGACAGGUCAUGAACUCCGGGAAGGGAGAAAACGAUCUGAUUUUGUAUUUCCAGGCCCACAAGCAGUGUGAACUCUAGGGACAGAUCCCAAAAGAUGCCUGCACAGCUCCCAGCUUGCCCCAUGCACUAAGGAGCCCAGGAUCCACCUUGCCACGCGUGCCACCAUCUCAGACACCUCCUGAGCUAUGACAAUUAGUACGAGAAUGACUGGGGCAUGGUACUCCAGCAGCAUGCCCCUGGUUUCCAGUGCAGAUUUUACGGUGACAAGAGGAUCAUGACAAGACUGACAGGCCCCAGAACCACCUCUGCUCAUGAAGAACUCACUGGCGACACGGCUUCGGAAUGGCCUCACUUCUCCUCAGCUUGAGCACAGCUUCUCAAGAGAACCCCAGAACCCCAGACUCUUGGGGAUUUGCCUUCAUUCUGCUGGGUGAAUACUCCUUUGGGAAAUAUCGCUUCUCACCACAGGGUAAACGGCAGGACAGAUGACACAUCAGGAAAUGCCAUUUAGAUUCAAGCACGGUGAAAUUUUGUCAAGCAAAAAUAGUCUUUAUUCAAAUUUAAUGGAAACAGGGGUCACUAUACUUUGCAAGACGGGGAAAAAUAAAAUUAAAAAAACUCUUUCCUUUUAAUAUAAAACAAUAUAAUCACAAUACCAGACUGUGGAGCUCCUACAGCGUUACUUCCUAGGGGCUAUGCAGGGAUCUGUUUCUCUCCACUGUGCUAGUCACAACGUUGGUAAGUCCAGAAACAGGAAACCGAAGUGGUGGGAGACUGAAGACUUGCACUUUCACUACGUGGCACACAUCAAAGGGCAUCGAUUCAAGGGCAAACGGCUGAGCUCACCACACCUACCUACGCCAUCACUCCAGCCUGAGAAGCCGUAUGGGUGCCGAGCUCCCUAUAGCCGUGGCCAGGCCUGAAAGGCAAGGCGUCUGGGUGUCCUACUGUGAGUAAGGGGAGGUCUGAGGAGCUGCUUUUCAGUAGAGCGGGAAGGCCUGGCGCCUGGAGGCUGACCGAGGAAGCACUGAGAUUGAACGACUGAGACACACCUUUAGGGAGUUAAUGUACAGCAGUGACGGGUGUUCUACUUCACUCUUGUGCUACGGCUACCAACAUGUACAAAACACUUCUCGGCAGUUCCAGCCUGGCAUAGCCAGUUAGGACCUUGAGUGGGACCUGGAUCUAGACCGGGAGGGCGACCUGGAAGCAGACCUGGAUGGAGACUUGGACCGAGAGCGUGUUUUUGAAGCCGAUUUUGACCUGGAGCGCGACUCUGCCGGGACAUUGGGUUUGGAUUUGGAGGUGGAUCUUGACCUGGCCCGGGGCUCUGGAUUGGGGGCCUCGCUCUCACCCUCUGCCCGGCUUUCCCUCUGGCCAGACUCAGCCUUGGCAUGUUCUCGCUCCUUUGACACCGAGCGGGAUGGUGACCGGGAGUGGUCGGUGUCCUUCUUCUUCUUGCUGCUGCUGCUGCUACUGACUUUGCUGUCCCGCUUGCUGCUAUGUUUUCGGCUGCGCUCACUCUUGCUGCGGCUGCGGCUUCGACUUUCGUCCCUGCUUCUCUUCCUUCCCUUCCGCUUGUCCUUGCUGCGGCUGCGACUGCGGCUGCCCACCUUGCUCCGGCUGCGGCUGCGGCUCUUGAGAAGGCUCUUCUCUUGGCUGCGGCUCUUCUCCUGGCUACGAGCCCUGCUCACGCUCCUUCGCCUCUCCUCCUCUGCUCUCCUCUCCUGGCUCCUGCUCCGACUUUUACUGUCAUGGCGGCUGGGGCUGUGGCUCUUGGCUUUGCCGGCGCUGUCGUUGUUUUGGAGCUUGUCCUCGGCAUGGUCUUUACUCUUGCUGUGGCUCUUGUCAGGGCUGCGGCUGCGACUGCGGCUCUUGUUGUCUUUGCUGGGGCUCCGGCUUUUCUCCUUCUUACUGCGGCUGCGGCUCUGGCUGCGACUGCGGCUCUUGCUGCGGGAGUGGGAACCUGACCUGGAAGACAGAGGAGCGGGUGAGUAAUGGGUGACCAGCCACUUUCUGUCAGGAAAUGGAGAGAGCACGGGGCCUGCGUGUGGGGCGUGGGAGCAGGGGAGCUGCAGGCCCACCUGGAUCGAGACCGGCUCUUUGAAUGGCUGCUUUUACUGCUACCACUUCGGCUUCUGCUCUUCCGGGAAUGUCUGCUUCGAGAGCGAGACCUGUGGUGCAGAAAAACAAAACAAAACAAAAUAAAAUAGUUUUUGAGACAAGGUGUCAGUAACCUUGGCUAGCCCAGAACUUGCUAGGUAGAGCAGGCUGGCCUGAACUCACAGAAAUUCACCUGCUUCUACUUCUUGAGUCCUGGGAUUAAAGACGUGUAUAACCGCACACAGGUUAGAAAAAAAGACAAUUUAAAAUUGCCUGUAAGGGGUUUGACGUUUGCUCAGUGGUUAAGAGCACUUGUUUUUGGAGAGGACCAGGGUUCAAUCCCAGCACCCACAUGGUGGCUCACAAUCAUCUGUAACUCUAGUUCCAGGGAUCCAACACCCUCCUGAGCUCAGCAGAUACUAGGUAUGCCCAUGAUAUGGAGACAUGGCUCAGCAGUUAUGAGACCACUUGCUGAUCCUGCAGAGGACCCAGGUUUGAUGUCCAGCACUAACUUGGUGUUUCAUAGCUGUAACUCCAGUCUCAGGGGAACUGAUACAUCAUCUAACCUUGGCAGGUAGCAGGUACACACAUAAUACAGACACACAUGCAGGCAAAACACCCCAACCCCAAAUUUUAAUUAUAUAAAAGAUUGUCUAAUUAUAUUAAAAAAAGGCUGUCUAGAGUCAACCAAGACAUUCAUUCCUUCAAUGAACAAACAAACAAAC